rnacentral:rRNA from 1 species
CAGCCGCCACGGUAAUACGAAGGGUGCAAGCGUUAAUCGGAAUUACUUGGCGUAAAGCGUGCGUAGGCGGCUUUGUAAGUUAGAGGUGAAAGCCCAGAGCUCAACUCUGGAAUUGCCUUUAAGACUGCAUCGCUUGAAUCCAGGAGAGGUGAGUGGAAUUCCGAGUGUAGAGGUGAAAUUCGUAGAUAUUCGGAAGAACACCAGUGGCGAAGGCGGCUCACUGGACUGGUAUUGACGCUGAGGUGCGAAAGCGUGGGGAGCAAACAGGAUUAGAUACCCCUGUAGUCCCUGUCUCUUAUAC